ACACUUCACCACCUAUGGCGGUCCGCGCCGCAGAGACGAUAACCACGGGGUCCGAGCCUGCACUCAUCCCGACGCCCUGCUUCCUGCCAGCCGUCAGCCAGGAGCCGUCUGCCACUGAGGAGUUGAGACCUUUGGAUCAUAGUGACCAAGCCCUCCUGAACAGGCUAUGAGAAAUUAGAUGACUUCUCUACCUUGUGGAGAUACAGCUGAGAUCUUCACCAGGAACCAAAUCAGCCAGUAUAUCAAAAUCACUUCACACAUCCAGCCUCCAGAACUGUGAGAAAUAAAUGUCUGUUGCUGAUACCCAA